ACACUUACCUGUAAAGAUUCUG
rnacentral:miRNA from 1 species